GCCUUGAAGAGGAAAGUUAAAUUAGCUUCAGUCUGCAAACUGAGGAUUAAGACAGAGGUCUGAAUGAGUUGCCUGUAUCAAUGUCUCCAGUUUGCUGAGUGCUGAAAACCAGCCUAAAGAUCUGCCUGGUAUCCCAACCCUAAAGACUGCUAAAAGAGGAGUGAGGAGGACCACCUCUCAUCCGCCCUCAGACCAUUACCUAAUUAGGGUUACCAUAUUUCCAGGUCCAAAAAAUAGGACACCUGUUGGGGGAAGGAGAGGUGGGGAAUAUGAUGGCAGGGGGGAAAGUGACAUGCUGGUGCCCCUCACUGACAAGCCACAGCUCCCCCCCACCCCAGCCUUGCUGCUGCCUCUCACUCCUGACCCACUGAUGUCAGCCAUGCCAGUGCAUCUCACUCCCAAAAAGCAGUACCCUGCCCCCACCCUCCGUGCUGGUGUCCCUCACUCCUGACCUGCAGCCCCCUGGUGCUGCCAGUGCCCUGCAUACCCAACUCACAGUCACCACCCCGCCCCCGCCCCUCACUCCUG